GCUGCUACAGGCUUAACACAUGCAAGUCGAGGGGCAUCAGGAAGAAAGCUUGCUUUCUUUGCCGGCGACCGGCGCACGGGUGAGUAACACGUAUCCAACCUGCCCUUUACUCGGGGAUAGCCUUUCGAAAGAAAGAUUAAUACCCGAUGGCAUAAUGAUUCCGCAUGGUUUCAUUAUUAAAGGAUUCCGGUAAAGGAUGGGGAUGCGUUCCAUUAGGUUGUUGGUGAGGUAACGGCUCACCAAGCCUUCGAUGGAUAGGGGUUCUGAGAGGAAGGUCCCCCACAUUGGAACUGAGACACGGUCCAAACUCCUACGGGAGGCAGCAGUGAGGAAUAUUGGUCAAUGGGCGCUAGCCUGAACCAGCCAAGUAGCGUGAAGGAUGAAGGCUCUAUGGGUCGUAAACUUCUUUUAUAUAAGAAUAAAGUGCAGUAUGUAUACUGUUUUGUAUGUAUUAUAUGAAUAAGGAUCGGCUAACU
rnacentral:rRNA from 1 species